AGAAACUGGCAAGAACAGUCAAACAUCUUAAUAAAGUUAACUGGAGCCAGGAAAGAGUGUCAAAGGUGGCAGAUGGCCUCACGAUGGAGUACAUGUCAUCCGACAAAAGUGAGCUAGAUGGACGAAGAAACUUAUAGGGUUAAACAGUACAACGUGCGAAAGUUUUCCUGGGAAAGCAAAGAAGAAUCGAUAAAAAAUCGCUAGGAUUUUCUGCCUGGACUAUCAAGGAGAGUCAUGACUCAUAAUAGCAAGGGGAACCAUCGAACCUGGCAAACCAGCGAACACGGCCAACUGUCCAUGCAGAUUGGGCACAUAUGAGGUUGAAAAUGGACCAGCGCAAGUCGCAGAUUUUGACACAAAUCCGCCACUAUAUAGAGGGAACGGGCUCGUUAUUUACUUGAAAUACAUUAUGAAACAGCUAUCAGUUAGGACCAGCGCUAAAAAUUUAAGGAUUUGCAUUAUUCGCUUGGCUUUGCCCGCUCUGUUCUAGUCUUAAUUGCCUUUUACCGUUUCCAGGGCAAUAUAAGUGAAUUUAGCUGUGUACACUGUAAAUUUCAAGGAGUUCAAUCAACUCAAAAUGUUUUAUUUUGUAACCAAAAAGGUCUAAAACGACUACAGAAUAACAUUUUGGAGUUAAUUAUACAGACUCCUUGAAAUUUACAGUGUAUUGUACAUAAAUUGGCAACAAUUGUUGCAGCUGAAAAGAAUUUUCUAAAGAACGAGUCACAAACAUUAGUCACUUUUAUCUUACAAUGCCAAUCACAAAACGUGAUAAUUUUAGAUUCCGUUUUUAUACUGAGUCUUUGUCCGCACAAAUCCGUUUUCGUAUGGUGUUUUCUAUAUUUCCUUGUAAACGGAUAACAAUAUCGUACGUGAGAACGCUAUGCGAGAAAGGAUUAGUCUGGGCUUAUUAUAAAUGUUUCAGUUCGAUAUAUAAUUUUAGUUUCAUUUUCAUACAUGAACCGGUGUAGUAUAUGUAUAUGUUAUAAUAAAUUUAUUUUAAAG